rnacentral:piRNA from 1 species
AACCAUCUUUCUCACUGUCUGAG